rnacentral:rRNA from 1 species
AUUGAACGCUGGCGGCAGGCUUAACACAUGCAAGUCGAGCGGGGGAAGGUAGCUUGCUACCGGACCUAGCGGCGGACGGGUGAGUAAUGCUUAGGAAUCUGCCUAUUAGUGGGGGACAACACCUCGAAAGGGAUGCUAAUACCGCAUACGUCCUACGGGAGAAAGCAGGGGAUCUUCGGACCUUGCGCUAAUAGACGAGCCUAAGUCGGAUUAGCUAGUUGGUGGGGUAAAGGCCUACCAAGGCGACGAUCUGUAGCGGGUCUGAGAGGAUGAUCCGCCACACUGGGACUGAGACACGGCCCAGACUCCUACGGGAGGCAGCAGUGGGGAAUAUUGGACAAUGGGGGGAACCCUGAUCCAGCCAUGCCGCGUGUGUGAAGAAGGCCUUAUGGUUGUAAAGCACUUUAAGCGAGGAGGAGGCUACUUUAGUUAAUACCUAGAGAUAGUGGACGUUACUCGCAGAAUAAGCACCGGCUAACUCUGUGCCAGCCGCCGCCGUAA